AGUGAACGCUGGCGGCAGGCCUAACACAUGCAAGUCGAGCGGCAGCGCGGGGGCAACCCUUGCGGCGAGCGGCGGACGGGUGAGUAAUUCGUCGGAAUCUGCCUUGUUGUGGGGGAUAACGUAGGGAAACUUACGCUAAUACCGCAUACGUCCUACGGGAGAAAGUGGGGGACCGCAAGGCCUCACGCAGAAAGAUGAGCCGACGACCGAUUAGCUAGUUGGUGGGGUAAAGGCCCACCAAGGCGACGAUCGGUAGCUGGUCUGAGAGGAUGAUCAGCCACACUGGGACUGAGACACGGCCCAGACUCCUACGGGAGGCAGCAGUGGGGAAUAUUGGACAAUGGGCGAAAGCCUGAUCCAGCCAUGCCGCGUGUGUGAAGAAGGCCUUCGGGUUGUAAAGCACUUUUGUCCGGAAAGAAAUCCAUGGAGCUAAUACCUUCGGGGGAUGACGGUACCGGAAGAAUAAGCACCGGCUAACUUCGUG
rnacentral:rRNA from 1 species